AGUGAUGGCCAAAACUCAGAAGUCUCAGAGCAAGGGUAAUGCAGGCAGGGCUGCUGCACCAAAGGGCCCGAAACUAGGAGGUGGUGGUGGAAAACGCUGAGCUACCAGCUCUGGACAGGUAAAAGCUAGGAAGUUGUCCUUUUGGAAGAUACUGUAGUGAAUUUUAAUCAUUUUUUUUUUCCAAAUUUUGUGUUGGAUAUAGUUCCAUCUACUUAAUUUUUGAAGUGAACUUGAGGAGUUUUAAACUUUUUACGUUUCAUUUAUGGUCUUUUUUCCUCCUAACCAUUGGUUGAGUGAUAGCAUAUUUCAUUACCUAGUAUUGGGCCCCUGUGAAAACCUAAUUCAUUAUCGAAACAUAUGAAUCCAAGAUUUAUGUGGUCUAAUUUGACAGACUACAUACAUUCUAAGGUGAAUGAAAGAGGUCAAACUCAAAAUGUCAUUCAGGUCUGGAAUUAUAUGCAUGAUAAAUGAAUUAUUUUUAUGGAAAGUAAAUGGCAUUGAAGGCUCCAACACUGA
rnacentral:lncRNA from 1 species